ACAGUGAGUAUUUUCUAACGUUCUAGUGUUACUACGCUACGCAGCCUACGCUACAUAGUCUACGGUAUACAGUUAUGCAACAACAAGAAGAAGUUCUAAUGAUAUCAACUUUUGCAGCGAUCAUUUUUGGACAAAUAAAGUACCAAGUCGUUUUAAUAUCUCCCACUGUCAGCAGCCUUGAGCUUAAGAAGAAUUUUUAAUGAUCUAUUUACCGUACGGAUUCAUGGCGCUGUGUGCAAUCAGCAUACUGAAAACAGAAGCUUUUAAGUGUGCUAUACCGACGAGAUUGGAGUUGAGUGGGGACACGUGUUAUUUUGUCUUAUCGGAACAUUUUGAUACACGAGAUUGGAGAAUAGCAAAACGCAGGUGUGCGAAAAAUCCUCCGAAGGCAUGGAAGGUUAAAAAUUUAACGGCAACAUUGGCAAUGGUCGACAGCAGGGAAGAUAUGUUGGCUCUACAGAAAUCUAUAAAGAAAAGUGGAAGGAAAAAUGUGGCUGGACGGACGCAUAUGUGGUUGGACGGCAGUAAUGCAAAACCUGAGAAACCCGGCAUGUUUGUCUGGCAUGACGCAGUGCUAACUCCGAUUGAUGGAACAGCAACAUUGGGCCACGUGUGCAGCAGGCUCCGACCACUGGCCAGCGAAGCACCGUUCUAGAAUCCUCUAUUGUUAUGCGUCAAUGGGAAGGCAAAGAUCCAUUCAAAUCUAAAAGCAAACCAUUUCCGCACAAUGACGAGAAGGAUCAGUAUGUCUGCUUAAGAGCUAGUAAACUAGGAGUCUUUUUGGAGCAUCACAGCAUGAAUGACGAAGCAUCAGUACACAAGUUUAUACCUGCCGUUGCUUGCAUGACUCCAGCAGUACCGGAUGGCCAGUAGCAUUGGAUGCACUGAUAUAGUACUGCAGCCUCAGAAUUGUCUUAUUCUGAUUGCCACUGGUAACAACGUAACCGGAAACAUAUGUACCGUCUUUUUCAGUACAGUAGAGAUCUGAAUGUGUGUUAUCGGUUAUAAAGUUUUCGGAAGGGUUCUGGAUGCAAUAUCAGCAGACAUGCCGCCGCUGCUCCAAACCAAUGUUCUUAUGUUUGAUUAUGUUUUGUAAAUUUGUAUGGUUUUGACCAGCUUGUACCGGAAAAAUGCGUGAAGUAUCUUGACAUUCAUAUCGAGAAAACGUGAAGUGGGAAGAGCAGUGACCGUUUACUGUGGAAGGUAAAUUACGGCAUUGCAAUGAUAAAACCAGCGAACGAUGGCUUGGACUAUGGGUCGAAUACGUGGUCAUCAGCAUCUUCUACUUUGAGCCGGACAGUGGGAAGAUUUCUCUUCAUUCUCAUAAACCACGACAUGUAAAUUCUAUUGGUCUAGUGCCCAAAAAGGGCAGCGAUAGCCUGCGGCCGAUAACAGACUGCAGCCGACCGGUCUACCGACAACUGGUUAUUAAACGAUUUUAUCAACGCCAAUACUUUCGAAGCGGUUGAUAGCGCUAUCUCUUGCAGUCAACGCAAUUGCUUUUUCGCUAUUGUUGACUCAAGAGCUGCUUACCGGUCAGUAUCGAUUUGCACGCCACAUCGUCAGCUGCAUUGUUUUUCUUGCAAUUUUCUUGUGAACACGAGAUUUUAUAUAUAGACACCUUUUUUGUGCUUUUUGGUUGUUGUUGCUCUGUUUGCGGGUUUGGGACUUCUUUUUUCCAUGGCUACGUUUGUCGUAGUAAUGCGCAGCGGUCACAAAAAUGUUUCAGUGGCAAAUUUUUUUGAGAUUCUGCUCGCUGGCUGGCGUCGAUAUUGCGGAAGAUGUUUGUCCACUCUAUGACGUUUAACACAUCGCUCUGUUGCGCAAGUGUGUGUAAUGCCAACGUUCCUUGUGGAUCAUGUGCGGCAUGCGUCAUGAGUCAGGUUCUUGUGAUAAGUAAGCCAAAGGGAGUGGCUUGAACGAUAAGAAACAGAUGACUGAGCGGGAAGAAAGGAAUAAUUUAUUGCGUAUUACCAAUUGUGUGUCUUUAUUAUCUGCAAUAUUUUGUCUCUCGUAACAUGCAUGAAAAGCCUGGCCUAAAAACUACCAUGAUGAAGUUGUGGAAUGGAUCCAGUACAUCACCUGCCAGGCUCGCAAUAACCCUCCCUUGGAAUAUUUUAGCACUGCAUGCCAUUCCGUUUAGCAUUCGAUUUGUUGUCUGCCAAUAUCAGUUAAACAAUAUUGGGUCAGUUCAGCCGCGGCCGGUUGGGUUGUAAUUAUCAGCGGUAGGAAGGUCAUAUCCACCUGUCCAGAGAAAUGCGAAACAGGACGAUGCUACCCGAAGCCGGAUACAACUCGAAAUGCCUGCCUUACUUUAACCCUGGUUAAGCACUACCAAGUUGGGAAUUACUUACGUAUUUCCCCGCUUAAGUUGUUGCCAAACCUGUGAAUUAAAAGAAUACAAAAAACCGCUAAGCGCGGCAGAAAUUAAAGCUCCUACGAUAUCUCGAACGAAGCUAGCUGAAUCAGAAAUCCCAUAAAGCAAAACAAAGAGGAAGAACCGGAUCACAUGACUGUAGAUUCGGUUUUCUGAUAGCUUACUUUGUAUUUGGUUUAGGUUGAGUGCAUUUUCCCACUGCAGAUGAUGCAAAAUAUAGAGCGUAGCACCGACAUAUAUGCAUGACCUUUACGCAUAUCAUACCAGAUAAUUAUUUUUGUGCCUU